GACGAACGCUGGCGGCGUGCUUAACACAUGCAAGUCGAACGGUGAAGCGCCUUCCUUUUUGGUGGGUGUGGAUGAGUGGCGAACGGGUGAGUAACACGUGAGUAACCUGCCCCCUUCUUCUGGAUAACCGCAUGAAAGUGUGGCUAAUACGGGAUAUUCUGGGUCUGUCGCAUGAUGGGUCUGGGAAAGAUAUUGUUUCGGUGGGGGAUGGGCUCGCGGCCUAUCAGCUGGUUGGUGGGGUGAUGGCCUACCAAGGCGGUGACGGGUAGCCGGCCUGAGAGGGUGGACGGUCGCACUGGGACUGAGACACGGCCCAGACUCCUACGGGAGGCAGCAGUGGGGAAUAUUGCACAAUGGGCGCAAGCCUGAUGCAGCGACGCCGCGUGAGGGAUGGAGGCCUUCGGGUUGUGAACCUCUUUCGCCAGUGAAGCAGGCCUGCCUCGUUUGUGGGUGGGUUGACGGUAGCUGGAUAAGAAGCGCCGGCUAACUACGUG
rnacentral:rRNA from 1 species